AACUGUGUGGUAAUUGCAGACGCAGGAGAAAGCUUUUCUUAUCAAAACAUGAAUAACGCCUUCCAGGUGCUCAUGGAGCUGGAAAAACCUGUGCUCAUAUCACUGGGAAAAGGGCGUUACUACAAGGAGACCUCUGGCCUGAUGCUGGACGUUGGUCCCUACAUGAAGGCGCUUGAGUAUGCCUGUGGCAUCAAAGCCGAGGUGGUGGGGAAGCCUUCUCCUGAGUUUUUCAAGUCUGCCCUGCAAGCGAUAGGAGUGGAAGCCCACCAGGCCGUCAUGAUUGGGGACGAUAUCGUGGGCGACGUCGGCGGUGCCCAGCGGUGUGGAAUGAGAGCGCUGCAGGUGCGCACCGGGAAGUUCAGGUCAGUGCCAGCUGGAGUCAUUUAUUCACCUUCCUUCCAGGGGAUGACCACAUUCUCAUUCUGUUUUGUUCUUCAAAAUAAAGGGGAUAUUCUUUCCAAAUCAAA
rnacentral:sRNA from 1 species